AACGAACGCUGGCGGCAUGCUUAACACAUGCAAGUUGAACGUAGAAUAGGGCUUCGGCUCUAUUGCUGAGUAGCAAACGGGGGAGUAACGCGUGGGAAUCUACCUUCUUGUGGGGGAUAACUAAGGGCAACUUUAGCUAAUACCGCAUACGAGCUACGGAGGAAAGGCUUCGGCAGCAAGAAGAGGAGCCCGCGUCAGAUUAGGUAGUUGGUGGGGUAAAAGCCUACCAAGCCAAUUAUCUGUAGCUGGUCUGAGAGGAUGAUCAGCCACACUGGGACUGAGACACGGCCCAGACUCCUACGGGAGGCAGCAGUGGGGAAUAUUGGACAAUUGGGGAAACCCGGAUCCAGCCAUGCCGCGUGAAUGAAUAAGGCCUUAGGGUUGUAAAGUUCUUUCACCUGUGAAGAUAAUGACGGUAGCAGGAGAAGAAGCCCCGGCUAACUCCGUGCCAGCCGCCGCAGUAA
rnacentral:rRNA from 1 species